GAGAAGCAGACUCCCUGCCGAGCAGGGAGCCCGAUGCGGGACCCGAUCCCGGGACUCCAGGAUCAUGACCUGAGCCGAAGGCAGUCGCUUAACCAACUGAGCCACCCAGGCGCCCCUUAAGUGACUUUUUGUAGAAGUCUAUUUCAGCUGGGGCAAAAACUACGGGAUUUUUUCAUUAGGGUGUCACCUAAGUCCCUGGGCUGGGAAGGCAACUCUUUGGCUUGGUAUGUCCCUAAUCCUACCUCCCUUCUUUGAUGCAUUUAUGCUGUGGAUCUCCUAAGGUCCUCUCAUCCUUUGGGGUUACAUUAUUUUUCUGGCUUUUCCUUGGGGCCUGAAGCUUAUGGACACAGGGCUUCUGCUGACCCAGCUACUCCAGAGCUGGAGAUGCUUUGGCCUUAACUAUUUCCCUCCAUGAAAGAAUUCCAAUUCAUUUCCAUCAUCAUACUCCUAAAGUGGAAACUCAACUUAGAGAAGAUACAUACCAUCCUUCUUUGGAGCUUCUGGACAGUAGAGCUGAGGAAAGAGUGUCUACCUGAAUCCACAUAUCUGGUUAUAGGAUCUCCCCAGAGAAGGAACCUGAUAGAAACAAACAAACAAACAAACAAACAAACAAAAACCUGCGCUGGAAGUUACAGAAUGAGAAGGAUCUAAUUCACCUUGACACAGAGCAGCUGCUUGAUAUCCAACCCAGGGAGAUUCAAGAUGAGACAGCGGAGAAGGACUCGGUGAGAAGGACCUUACCAGGUACUGUGAACAGCUAAACACAACAGUAAACUCGUGCCUCCCAAGUCAAAAGACAUAAGCCACAUGGACCUACUGGGAGGCUGUCCUGAGACCUCAAACAGCACCAUCUGAGGAAACAAAACAGAUGAGGGCAGGAAGGUGCCCCUUCCACCCAAGACCAUUGGGACCAUGCUGGUAACCACAGGAAGUGUCACCUUCCCUCAAGACCCACCAGACAAGACCACCAGAGCUACCAUGGUGGUGCUUUAAUCUGCAUGUGCUUUUGCUCUUUUUUCCCCCUUCCUGUAAAGUUAAGGUUUAAACUGUUGACACUCUUUACCUAUUAACCAUGAUAUCUCCAAGGUUUUUAUCUUUCAUGCUGUUGUGUGUUUGUGUGUGGGUAUUUUGCCGUAGUCAUUCCUCAGUAUGAGUCCAGUGCCAGGCUGCAGUUUGCUUACCAUUUGGCUACAACAUGCAAUUACACU